AUGCAAGAAAAUGAGAUGAAUUCUGAGGGGGUUUCAAGUGGCAAUUUGACAACAUUGGACACAACAAAAACACUAUCAGAUUGUGAUAUUUUUAAUAUGAAUGAGGAUUCAGAGACAAAUAUGGAAGGAGUUUUGCUGUCACCACAACCUCGUUUAGACUACAGUUUCGGCUGGGAUGAUUUGGAAAACGAUGAUGCUGAGAUGGUGCUUUGGAGCUAUUCUAUUUGAUGUCAUAGUAGUUUCGGAUAGUAAAGUGCGUAAAACACAAAAAUAAAGAAGCAAGAUAUAGUAUAUGGUGAAUGGAGAGUAGGUGAGUCAAGUUGAUCUGGUAUUUGGUUUUGAAGUCCAAUCACCCAGACUGCUUAUUAUAAGACAAAAAGUAAGAGGAAAAAAUAUCAGGCAAGUAAGAGUGUAAAACCGACUUAAGAGUGGUCCACAUAUCCCAUAUCCCACUACUUCAACAACUGACCCAAUGUUUAAAAAUCACAUUUGAUAACUACCCAUGUUCUAAGGACGUGCAAAAAAAAAAAAAAGAAUACUCUGUGAUGGGCAGAGCAUUUAUAAAAUGCAUUCGGAAGGUCCCUAAGAUCAUUUUCAUGUUCAGUUUGUAUGCACCAUCUAAGCAGUGAGAAAGAGAGCUUAGAAGAGCCUUAACCCGCAGCUAAACACUACCUACAAGCUUGAGUGAGUGCGUCAAGAACGGCAAUGGCAGGAUGUUCGUUUUCGAUCCAUUUUACUCUGCAUUGAUCUAAAUGUUAUUUUGUUUAUUAAAACAUGUUUAGAUCGCUUAAGGUGACUUACAUUUGAUAUCAGAGCCUUCGUUUUGCCUUUGCCUUGUUUGUUCUUAGCCUGCACACAUUCUGUUGAAAAUUUUGGCAUUUGAUUUAGUCUGUUAUAUAGAAACUGAGAUUAGGAAUCAUUAGGAAAUCGAUUUAUGAGAAUUUUGAUAUAAAAUAUGAGAGAUUUGGUGGUCGGAAUCAUGAGAUAUGAAAGGGUUUUUCAUUCGGGUUGAAACCGGGUUACAUCGACCCGUCGGGAGGUUGAAGAUAACCUCUAUUAAAAAAAAAAAAAAUAAAAUAAAAUAAAAUAGUAAACAGUCUUUUCAAACUUGUUUGCAAGGAGACAUGGCAACUUAUGUUGACAUGCAGUGGCCCUUCCUUGUCUCUUACUAGUUAAGGUACAAGAAUGGUUUUUGUUUUAACGAUUAGUUUCUAGCACGUGAGCCCACUUGUAUGAAAUAAAGGCCGUCGUUGAUAUAAUAGAAAUUGAAUGUUUAAUAUUAUUAUUUCGGAUUACUUUAAUAAAAUUUUGGACUUGUACUAGUACCAGUCGAAAAUUUUGAAAUUGUAUCUCUUUGUGGACCCAUGUGCUGGAAAUUAAUGAGAAUUAUUUGGUGAUUUUGUUUUCAUAUGUACUAAACUUAUUUUGCCCCCAUUUAGCCAUCAUUUUCCUUCUCAUUAUUUUUCUCUCUUAUUUUUAACUACAUAAUCAUUCAUAAAAUAAUAUUAAACUCAAAUAAAAAACUUUUCAUUUUUCUCAACCACACAUUUUUAAAAAAAACACUAUUCCAACCAUUAAAAUUUAGCAAGAAUGGGGGCCAAACAGGUGUUAUAUUGUUUUGUAUGUAUAAUUUUUAUUGUUUUGUUAUAUAUACAAUAUUGAGUUAAAUAAUUUAGUACAUUAAAAUUUAAUUUUUGUGUUCAUAUUGCUUAUGGUUUUGUGCAAUUUAUAUGAGCAUAUUUUUGUGAAUUAAAUUAAAAGUUGAGUGACCAUAUAAUUUAAUUAAUUGGGGAGUAGCCACAUCAUCCUUAAUUAUACAAAAUUAUAUAUUAAAUGUAUAGGAUCACAUAUUGAAUAAAGACAUUAAUUGUGGUUAAUCAUAUUUAAUAUAAUGAAUAUUAUCCCACAAGAAUUUUAUUAUAUAUCUUUGAUUAAUUAAGAUAAAAUAUCAAACUAUAUUUUCUAAUUUGCCCCCAAGGAUUAGAAACGGGAACAUAAUUUGAUAGUUUUAUUGUGUAGUUAAAAUAAAUCUAAUUGAAUUAGAACUUUAGCCCACAUGCAAGUCUUAUGUCACUAGAUUCAUAUUUUGCAUGAUUUUAUAUCUGUAAAACAUGUCUUAUGUUAUGUUAGCUUCAAAUUUUGUAAAAUGAGCAUGAAUGUUUGAUUUAUUGCAGCAAGUCAACUUGUUAAUUUCUCUAAUAUAAAAAGUGAUUUUCCCGAGCUGAAAGGGGAUUGUUAUAAGGCCUGGAAGGAGAGAAUUCUCAAUCACUUGGGAUGGAUGGACAUAGAUUACGCCAUAAGGAAGGAAGAGCCCCCUAUAGUAAUCACUACCAGCACUUCAGAGGCAGUUCAACUUUAUGAAAAGUGGGAGCGAUCUAAUCGUCUUUCCGUUAUGUUCAUAAAGACGAAAAUAUCUAAUGGUAGUAGGGGCUCCAUCGAGUAGUGUGACAAAGUCCAAGAUUUGCUUAAGGCCGUUAACAAACAAUUCGUCACUUCAUAUAAAGCGAUGGCCAGCACUCUCAUUAUGCAGUUUUCAUCCUUGAAGCUCAUCGACAUUAAGGUUGUGCGUGAUCAUAUCAUGCGCAUGAGAGAUAUAGCAACCCAACUCAAGACAUUGGAAGUUGAGAUGUCCGAAUCACUCCUGGUUCACUAUAUCCUUUGCACUUUGCCUCAACAAUAUGGCCCAUUCAAGAUCACCUAUAACACACAUAAAGUUAAUAGUCCAUUAAUGAGUUGUUGACCAUGUGUGUUCAGGAAGAGGGCACACUACUUAUAGAGGAAGGUAAAAAGGAAAAGAUGUAUUUGACAACUCCAGGAAAGAAAAAGAAAGAUCGGGCCAAGGACAAGGGGAAGGGAAAAAUCCAUCCUCAAAAUGACAUUAAGAAGGAGAUUGUGUGCUUCUUUUGCAAGAAGAAGCGGCACGUUAAGAAGCAAUCCUCCAAGUUCAUGAAGUGGCUUGACAAAAAGGAUACUCAACUCUCACCUGUUUGUUUUGAAUCCAAUAUGAUUGAUAUUAAUCAUAACACAUGGUGGAUUGAUUCUGGUUCUACGAUCUAUAUGACCAAUUCAUUGCAGGACUUGGGGUACUUAGUACUCUAAAUUUUACGGACUUUGGGACUUGUAUAGACUACAUUAAGGGAAAGUAGACUAACAAGUCAAAAAAGGGUGCCAAGAGAAGCUCUAAAUUAUUGAAAAUCAUAUUCACAGAUAUUUGUAGUCCAGACAUGGAUGCAUACCACGAUAAAUACUUCAUCUCUUUUAUAGAUGAUUACUCGCGAUACAUGUAUCUCUACUCGCUUAACAGUAAAAAUGAAGUACUAGGUGCUUUUAAGGUAUUUAAAGCUGAAGUAGAGAAACAUUAAUGCGGUAAAAUAAUUAAGAUAGUGAGAUCCGAUAGAGGUGGAGAAUAAUCUAAUGAAAAAAUUAGGCUCUAAUCAUAAGUCAAUUAUAACGAGAGGAACUAUGAUAUUGACAUGAUGCGUGAUAGCAUUUCUACAAAAUUGGGAAGAACUUUAUUCUCAAUUAAUUGGAGAAGUUUAAAGAAUAAUAGUGUUAAAGAAUUUGUUGACAUCAUAACUAACACUUAUUAAAAUAUUGUGAUUUUUAAUCACUAACAUUAACAAGACAUUGUCUUGAUUGUAUACUCUAAAAAUCAAGCUCAUAAUUCUAAAUUUGAGCAGUAAUUUCACAAACUUCUUACCAACACCAUGCAGUCAUCUAGUAUAUGUAACAAAUUUAUUAGAUAUAAACAAUAUUUAGAUGAUCAACGUGGAGGAUGAUGUGGCCUCAUUUAUCACACCAAUCAAUUUUCAGAAAUAUAGGGAAUUCAGUCCCUAUUUUAACUAGUUGUUGUUAAUGAAAGAGAACACACGUCAUAUAUGAUUGAAUUGAAAAUUUUUUUUGGUUCUUUAUUACAUAUCCAUUUGAAUUUUUAAUUUCGCAUCAUUAUUAAUCUAGUGAUGAUCAAACUAGUCAUGCCAAAUAAUAAAGUCGAAUUGAACUUCUUGUUCAGUAUAAAUAUAAUUCAAUUAUUUAGAGGGUAUUUGAGCCGCAUUUUUAAGAAAAAUGCAUUUUAGAAUAGUAGAAUGAUGAGAAAUGUGUGGUUGAAAAAUAUGAAAAUUUUUUAAAUUUACGUGUAAUAUUAUUUUAUGAAGAAUGUGUGGUUAAAAAAAAAACUUGUAUUUUUGAAAAAAUAAGAAUCAAACAAAGCAUUAAUUACAAAAAAUAUGAUUAAACAUUAUAUAAUCAUAUAAUGAUCAAUGUCCACAUGAAAUAAGUUGUAUUUUUUUCUUUAGAGAUAAACACAAAUUCAUAAAUUAUACAUGAUUUAUUUUUCAAAACAUGUGCUACUUUAAGAGUACGGUAUAUUUUAUUUUCGCUUCUUUAGGAGCAACAUCAAUAUUUUUCUGAAAUAUUGGAAUCGUAAUGUCAUACUUCAGGAGCAAUAAUAUAUUAUUAUUAAAAUAAUAAAUUAUAUAAGAAUUUACUCUUUAGGAGGAAAAACAUAAUUUACGUUAGAUCGUAUUUAAUUAUGCUCUUCGAGAGUAAGUGAAAUGUAACAAAAAUAUUUGUCAAUAAUAGUGUGUUGCUUCAUGAGAAAUAAUAUUCUUUUAGAACAAUGUUGUGCUACUAAAGGAGCGCCAAUAAAUUAUUAUUUAAAAAGAUUAAAUCUUCUGGAGUAUGAUUUCUAGACAAAUAUCAACAUUUGAAAAGUUGUACUUCUUCAAAAGUACUUUAUGUUUUACUAUUACUUCUUCAGCUGCAAUAAACCAAUAUCUUCAUUUGAAAUAUAAAAAAUUGAAAUUCAUGCUUUUCAUAGCAAUAUGUCUAUUAUUUUGGAAUAUUGAAAAUUAUGAUUCAUAUUCAUCGAGAGCAAAUAAUAUUUUUUGGAAAUGUUAAAAAAUAUAGUUCAUAUUCUUCAGAAACAAGUAAUAUUCUUCAAAAAUAUUAUUUAUAAUGUUGUGUUACUUCAAGAGCAACUACAAAGUAUUUAUAAUAGAUAGAUGGUUUUAUAAAUGGUUUAACAUACAACAUACAAUUACACUUACCUCGUAAAUUUGAAGAGGGUUUUAUAAACUACGUACGGAAGAUCUUGACCUUAAACAAACGUUUAUGAACUAUGUGUUCAGUGUGGGACAACAUACACACACAACACAAAUAUAUUUUAAAUUAAUCAAUUAUAAUUAUGCAUAUAUAGAUGCACAUAAUUAUAGCAAUACUAUAAUUUAAUCAAUUUCUCGUAAUUAUAUAUAAUUAUACAUAUAUAUGUACGUAAUUUUAGUAAUACUAUAUUUGAAAUCAAUCAACCAUAAUUAUACAUAUACAAAUGCACAUAAUUAUUGUAACAUUAUAUUUAAAUCAAUCAAUUGUAAUUAUAUAUAAUUAUACAUAGAUAGACGUACGUAAUUGUAGUAAUACCAUAUUUGAAAUCAAUCAACCAUAAUUAUGUAUAAUUAUACAUAUAUAGACUUACAUAAUUAUAGCAAUCACAAAAUUUAAAUCAAUUGUUCAUAUAUUAUAUAUAUAGAAAAUUACACUUGUAGUCCCUCAACUAUUUGGGUGAUGUGCAAUUUGAUCAUCUAACUUCAUCCUCUUACACUAAGGUCCUAAUUUUAUAAUUAAUGACUAUAAAGAAAUUUGGUGUAUUACAAUCUAUCCCUAUUAAAACAAAUUUUCAUCCUCGAAUACCCUCUUAAAAUAGAUUUUCAUUCUAAAAAAUUACCUUAGAUAUCAUCAACAAACAGUUAUAUAUAUAUAUAUAUAUAUAUAAAUUUUGUUUGAUAUAUAUAUAUAUCAACAAACAGUUAUUAAUUGGUUGUUAUUAAAUAUAAAUUUUGUUUGUAUAUAUAGAUAGAUAUAGAUUGAUAUAUGUAUAGUUAUAAAUGUAUAUUUGUUAAUAUCUUCACACGAGUAUCUCUCUCUUCCACUCAAAUUAACUACAUUUAAAAAACUUCCACAUAUCCACUCGUCAUUCCAUUUUCCCCACUUAUCCAACUAAUAAGAAAGAUUCCAUCAAGUCCCUUAUAUAUUUAUCUCACAUCACUCACCAUUUCUUUUAUUUUAAUAUUUCAUAACUUGUAUUCCCAUAUUUUAUUACUCAUUUUCUUCCAUAUUUUUGGGUAUCAAAACAACAAAAAAUUGUCCAGUAGCAUUUAAAGUACUCAUUUUAUCUCAACAUUUUUCAUUUGAUUGAAACGCCUUUGAAGGUUAUAAGGUAAGAUAACGACGUACAGGUAGUUUUGUCCUGUUUAAUUUUUUUUAUUUCAUAUUGAUAAAUAUUUUAAUGAUGAUAUGAAACGAUAUGAUAUAUAUGGCCAUCCGAUACAAAUAAUACGAUAUGAUAUGGGCUUUUACCAGCUUUAAAGAUUUGAUACAACGGUACGAUAUAUUUUAAUAUAUGAAUGAUAAAUAUUAUUCGUAUCCUAUUGAGUAUUCCCAUACUCACCCCAAUUUCUCCUACUUCAUAGGUUAGUUCGGGUCGUAUCAAACCGUGGUGAUUCGAUUGGGUGGUUGUGCCUCAUUUAGCUGGACAAAGCUAAAAUUUAAAAUGUAACUUUAUUUCUUUUAAGUUUAAUUGCAAUAGAUAUUAUUCAUAAUUAAAUUCUCAUACAUGUUAUUUGUAUAUGGAUGUAUUUAGUUUGCACUUUUGAUUAAAAGUUUGAAUUUAAUUGUUUGAUGUAGUGGUGUAAUUAUCUUCCGCUCAUUUUUUUUAAAAAUUAAUUGUUUCGUUAGCUGUUGAAUAUGUUAAAAUACAAUUAUCUACUUCUAAUAAAUUGGAUUUCAAAGAGUGUGCGAGUUAGUAGUUAAAAUUGUUGAAUCAUAUAAAAUAUGAGGUUGAAUUUAAAAUUGACCAUUUUUUUAAGCAAACUUUUGGGUGACGACUUAAAAUAUAAAAAAUUGGAUUUCAAUUUUGGUCUGCAUUGUGAUAAAGAAUUAUGUAUGAAUUAUAAAGAUGUUUAUACAUUUAGAAUCUAUGGACAAAUAUAUCAUUAUGUGAAAAAGUUCUUUCUUUUAAUGGUCAUCCUUCAUUUACAGUUAUAUUUCUUUGGAACUAAAAAUUAAAUGCAAAAUUGAUUACAACCUUUUGAAAAAUUGAUCGAACCAAUCGUUUCAAAAUUAAUAUAUAUUUUAAAUGUUAUUCAUUAAUAAAAUGUUUUCCGUUUUCCAAAGUUUAAAUAUUUUUCCUGAUUUAAAAUGUCAUUCUAAUUGAAUAAGAUGCGAUAUUGAACUUGAUCAAAAAAGUGUAAUAUACCCAAGUUAUGCAAUUUGGGUUGAGGACAUUAAAUCAACAAAUAUUAAGACAAGUGAUUAUACUGUUGGACCCAAGGUAAGUCAUGGUGGGUCAUGUGAUUUAAACAUCAUAAUUCAAAUAACAGGGCUGAAAUUUCAUUAUGCAAAAAUCAAGUGUCAAUAUAAUAAUUAAAUAUUAAUCAAUACCCAAUUCAUCUCCAAUCUCAUUUUUGAAAACCUAAAUCUCUCUCUCUAAUCUCUCUCUUCCUUCUUCUCUCUAGUCGCUGUCUCCAUUAUCUGUCAUCGGAUCGGUGGCUCGGUUGAUGUGAAGUUUCUGAGAGAAGCCACCACUACUAGUGCUCCCUUAUCACUUUUCACAUUUAUAGGAAGCUUCGCUCCUGCGCUUUGCCACAACACUCGACAGUGCAGCUGUCUCCCUUCUCUUUGUUAUCGGAUCGACGACGCGAUCGAUGCUGAGUUUCCUGAGAGAAGCCACCGCUGCAGGUGCUUUCUUAUCCCUUUCCAUAUAAACUUGGUUCUUGCGCCUUCCACAUCUCACGACGGUGUCUCCUUGAUUGAAGAGACCUGUGAGCAUGGCUUGAGACACCCAUCAUUUUGUUGUUGUUGGCGGUGUUUAAGGUUGUGUUGUGUCGGGGGACAGUGAUGUUGAUUUGGUGGUGAUGAAGCCAUGCAUCCUACAUUUUUUCCGUCUUUCUAUUGCAACUGAGUGGAAGUGGUGGCGGUGGUUUUGAUGGUUGCGGUGGCAAGGUGGUGAUGGUCGUCAAAGUUAUUGCGAUGGUUGUGGGUGUAGGUGUUGGUGGUGUGAUCACCAGUUGUGUUUGUGUGGAAGUGUAUUGGUACGGUAUCUAGGUGUUUGUUGGUUUUUGGAAUGGUGGUGGAUGUAGUGGUGGUGCCGAGAGGUAGCGAUGACAAUUGGGUGGCCUGCUUGGCUUAGUGCGGUGGCUGUUGUUGAUGUAUUUUAGUUAGGUUUGUUGAAAUUUUGGAGUGGUGGUGGUGGUGGUAGUGGUGGUGGCCAUGGUUGUGAUUGUAUUGUGGCGGGGUAGGGUAGUGUUGGUGACCAAAUAUUGUAGUGGAUCGGGAUCGAGCAUUUGGUGUUUGUGACCAAUUAUUUGGUUUCCUGUGACUAACUAUUAAACUGUGGCCUUAAAAUUUGAUUAGUUGUGACCUAAAAAAGUAAUUUGUGAUCAUCAAAUCUGAAUAUAUGCGACUUGCGACCCAUAAUUUUUUGGACUUGUAAACUGUCGCCUUAAAAUUUGAACAUUUGUGACUUAAAAAGUAAUCUAUGACCAUCAAAUUUGAAAAUAUGUGAAAUGUGACCUAUAAUUUUUUGGAUUUGUAACCAAUGACAUAAAUUGUGACCUGUAAAGUUUUCGAUUUGUGACCUUGACAUAAUUUGUGACCAAUUAAUUUGACUAAUAUAUGACCAAUAAAUAAAUUGUAAUCUAUAAUUAUAUUCAUGCAACCAUUAAUUGUAGAAAUUUGAUCUCAUUGUAUUUAAUUAAUAAAUAUUUUUAAUUAAUUAGCUAAAAUCUUAUUUUUGCAUUAGUUAAACUUAAAACCUGAUUUUUGAAUUGUGCAUAGUUAAACAUGAUUUGUGAAUUUUUCCAUUUUUUUAAUUCACUCUAUUCGGUGCAUGCUUAGGAAAGAAAAUAAACUUUCUUAAUAAAAAAGUAAGUCUAAAUCCAAUUCUCUGGUCAAAACGACCCUCACAAAAAGCCCAAAUCCAAUUCUCUCCAUCCGUUCUCUCGCUACUUUGAAUUGCUCAUAAUCUCUCAUCGGUCGCUUGUAGUCUCACUGCAGUCAAUGGUUACUCCUUUGUAUUAUGUCAUUGUAUUCAAAUAAUUUAUUUGCUACUUUUGGCAAAAACAAAAUUAUUCGACUAUGUGAAUAUUAUUCGGUAGAUUUUGAGGUAGUAGAUAUCUUGAAAUUGAUGAUCAUCUUGAUGCAUAUAUUCUUAACUUGCACAUUGAUGGAAAUUUUGGAGGAUUACAAGGUCUUAAUGAACUUAUAAAGAAGUUGCGAAAAAUAAACAUCAAGUGUAUUCAUUAGCGUACAAGCUUGUGAUAUUGACCUUAAUUCUUCCCCUGGCUACUAUUAAAAUUGAAUCGGAUGAUCAGUGAUUGAAUGAUAGUUAAAAAUGAAGUAAUUAUAGAAUAUUAUCAAAGUAUGAGAAUGUAUAGAAAACAAUUAUAAUAAGAUAUCGCAUGCUUUAAUUUUUUCACAAAUUUUUUUGCAAGUUUGAUUGUGCCCUAACUCAAAAUGCCUACGUUUGCCACUGCAUGAUGUUUACUAUAAAUCUAACAAUAUGUAUGGACUGCAAUAUUAUUUUGUAUGUUAUGAUUAUCUGCAAUACUCACUUUUGUUUCAUCAAGGUGAAACUAGUUGGCACCAUGGUGCUCAAACAGUCGAUAAAAACAACAAUAUUGCAUGAAUUAAGCCCCUUUUUUGUACACGUCAAUUUUUUUCAACUGAAGGAAUAAUUGCAAAUGAAGCAGUGAUAUCUUUUUGAUAAGUUGUUUCCAUUAUGUUGUUGUUUCUGUAGAUUUUGUUUCUCAUAAUUUGUUUAAAUGUUGUAUUAAGAUUUUAGACAUCUAGAUUAUAUUAAUCUGACUUAAUUAUGAGCCGGACUUUAUCAAGUUAUAGUUGAUAUUAUAUAGAUUAGUGAGAGUAUAGGUGAGAAAGUUGGUCGAAGUGUUGUCUCGCCUUAGUCAUAUAUUGGCAGACCUAUUUAAAUUUAUAUAAACUACUUUAUUGAAUUUAAUUUCAGUUCCAAUAUUAUACAAUGACAAAUGAAAAUUCUUUGUUGUGAUAUUCCAUGUUAAUGAUUUUCAAAAAUAAAUUAAGAUAUAUUCAGUAUUAGUUAUUAAUUCGAAGUUUAAAACUAAUUUCUUAUUCAAUUUAAGUUAAAGUUAUGAUUUAUAUCAUUUUUCAACUUUCAAAAUUUCAAAAAUGCUUGCACAAGUGUCUUGGUUUUUGUUGUGGAUGAUCUUUGUCUCUCUCUUUUUUGUUUUAUUUUAUUUUUUUUGAAUGAAGCUUGACAGAAGAGAAUGCAAAUAUAAAUAUUUUUAAUUAAAAUAUAUAGUCUUCGGUAAACAAUGAAAAUUUCAAAAACUAUGUUAUUAAAGUUGUUAGAGUCUCGAUCAUAAGUUAAUCUAUGGAGAAGAUAUGAAAUGAAGAAAAGAAAUUGACUUUUUAAAAUUCUUAAAGAGAUAUAUAAAGUGUUAAUUAUAGUAUUGUACAUGUUGUAAUUCGAUAUUUUUAAUGAAGUGUAUUUUUAUGUGUUUAGCUUUUAUAAUGACAUAUUUAUAUAUUAUUAUAUUAUUUUGGAAAAUAUAUAGUACCCAAUUAUUUUAUUCAGAAGUUGUAUUUUGUACUAUUGAAUAAAAUAUAAAUUUCAAAAAAAUAAUGUGUAAACUGUAAGCCUCUAUUUAGUUUAGACAAAAAUUAAGUUUUAGUAAUAAAAAUUGAUGAAAUAUAUAAUGAAAAAUUAUGAUUUACCAUAAAAUAUAUGAUUAAAAUUAAUUAUUAAUUUUCAAUGAUUUUUUUUUAAAAUUAAACCAAACAAGGGCGAUAUACACACAAUAAAUAUAAUAAAAAUUUUAUUCUGUAAAUUUCCUUCUUGUUGACAUUGAAAUGGCCAAUUGUACCCUCGCAUUUGCUUCCAAACAGGCAAGAAAAGAUGGUUAGAAUUUAUUUUUUUGGGGUCCGAAUAGAUUCGAACUUUUGCUCGAUCAAAACUUCUGGGUUCGACUUGACUUUUUGACUCAGAUCUUUCUCGAGCCGAGCCUAGAGGCCUAGACCUUUGCAGUCUCUUUGGAGUGGAUGAUAGAUUUCCUCCACUGAAUUAAUUGGCCAAUUGUACCCUCGCAAUUGGCUCCAGUCAAGAAAGAAAUAAUUUAUUCUUCACGGUCCCUGAAAUCUGCGAACCAUAAGACAUGAUGUAAACAACCUAGGAAUCUUCACAUCUUAUGAUGAAAUAAAUGUAUGGGGCAUUUGUUUCUCAUUUUUGUAAAAAUGAGAAUGAAAAAUAUAACUCUUAUGGGUAGGGUUGCUCGGCUUGGCCCAUGAAAGCACGAGCUCAGCUCGUCCGAAAAUGGGUGAGCUCGGCUCGCGAGCAAACAUCAUUUUUCCAUUUUUUUUUAAACAAAUAGGUAAAUUGGAAAAUAAAAAAGUAAUUUUAAUUUUUAAAUUAUGAAUUAUAUAUAAAAAAAACUAGGUAAAAAAUUUAAACCCUCCUCCUUUAUCCGGGUUUGGGACCGACUACUUAAAAUGUAGAUGUAUAGUAGUAAUAAUACCAAGUACUAACAAAAAUUUAACUAAAUUGGUGGAAAGGAAUUUUUUUUAUUUAUUUUUUUAACUAAAAGAGAUAGAAAAAAUAAAAAUGAAAUCUUUAUUUUUUUAUUUUUCUUUUUAAAAUAGAUAAACCCUUCUCCUUUAUCCGGGUUUGAGACCGGCUACUUAAAUUUUCAGUAGGCGGAGUUAAAAAUUGUAUACAAACAAUUUUUUGUAGCAUGUACAAUUUUUUAAAGAAAAUUAAAAGUAACGAUAAGAAAAGAAAAGUUUCAUCAAUAUAAUUAAAUCAAAUAUCACUUACUUGACGACAUGUAAUUUCAGCAUAUUUAUCUUGUAGUCGAAAAUGAGCGUCCUGCCAAUCUUUAACGCACAUUAACGCUUCUAAAAUAUCUUCUUUCAGUUGGCUCCUGACCUAGCUCAAAAUGCUUUUACCUGCACUAAAAGCAGACUCCGAAACAAUAGUGCUAACCAGAGAUGUCAGCAGAUUUUUUGCAAUCGCAGAUAUAACUGGCCAACGUCGUUCAUACCUUCACCAGAAUUCAAUUACUUCGUCUGAACUUUUUUUAAUUAUUUUAUCUGUUGGCAUAUUUUGGUUGAAAUAAUCAAUUAAUUCAGCAGGUAAUGCAUUAUGGCUUGAGCCCGUAGAUGUUUGAUGAGAAUGAGAUACAGAUGGUGACGACAUGGCAGUGGCAAUGGUAGUAGAUGAACACAUUGCAGAUGAAUCAAAUCUAUACGAAUUAAUGCCUUGAAAUAAAUUAAAUAUUUCCACACCUUCUUCUUCAAUUUCAGCGGAAGGAGUAGGUGUAGAUGGUACCUGACUAAUAUUGGUACCCAUUCGGUUCGCAUAUAAUUCAUACAUUUCACAUAACGUUUGCUCUAAAUUUCUAUAUGUGAUAGGUGUAUCAAAUGUUAAGGCAUUUGAAAUUUGAUUAAUUAUAUAUUUAGUUCUCGAUAAAUUAUAUCGGGGGUUCAUCACGCAUGCUAAAAGAAAUCAUAUAGGCAAAUCUUCCCAAUAUUUUUUAAAUUUUAAUUUCAUGGCAAUUCUAAUUUCACUAAAAUCAGGGUCAUUUCUGUAUUUAUGAAAUAUUCUUGCAAUUUUAUAAAGAUGUUCAAGCACCAUACAGCUGGUGGGGUAGUAAACGCCCGAUAAGAUCUUAGUGGUUUCAUAAAAAGAUGUCAAAAUUUUUUUAACUUUUAAAACUAAAUGCCAAUCACGUUCGGUCAACAUACCCUCGGCAUCACUUCUAACAUAUCUAUUGUUAUAAAAGUCAAUUAUUAAAUGUUCAAAACCUUCAUAUGACUUUAAUAACAAGUAAGUAGAGUUCCACCUAUGACCUACGUCGCUAACAAAUGUUUUAGCAUUUUGCACUUCUAUUUCGGCACAAUAAUCCUCAAAUGUUUGUUUUCUACUUGGGGAGAUUGUGAUAUAUAUUAGUGCGUUCCUAAUAUUUUGAAGUUCAUCCUUUAUAUGUUUUAAAACAUUUUGGACAAUUAAAUUCAAAAUAUGACAUACACAAUGAAUAUGAAACAAAUACCCACCAAAAUUAGGUUGUAGUACCCUAUGCAAUUUUUCGGCAACUACUUUAUUAACACUAGCAUUAUCGAAAGUAAAUGAACGAAUUUUACCUUCGCAAUGAUAUUCUCAAACAAUACUAAUAAUAUCAUUAAAUAUAUUAUUAGCGUUGUGAGGAAACUCAAUAAUUCUAAAAGCAAUAAUUUUUUUAUGCAUGCACCAAAGUGGGUCUAUAUAAUGUGCAGUUGCAGCUAUAUAUACUCUUUUAUUAAUCCCUUCCCAUAUAUCCAAAGUUAAAGAUAUGACACCCCCAUAUUUUUACAAAUCCAUAAUUAAUUGUUGCUUUGUUGAAGUAAAAUAUUGUAUCGAAAAAAAGAGUGUUUCGACUUACCUCAACGUACCUUGACUGCAGAUAUUCUUUCACAUACGAGACGUAGUGUUGGUUGUCAAUUAAUGUCAAAGGCAACUCAGCACCAACAACAAGUUUCACCAUUUCGAUUCGAGCUUUCUCCUCCGAAUACACCCAUGUGGAUAGGGGUACAGCAGAACCACCAACGUCUGGACUGCCAAAUUGCAAUUGUGUUUAACAGCCUGGAAUAAGUCUGUGUCUGGCUGCACAUACUUUGUAAUGACGGUUGAGAUGAGUGGUACCAAUUCCUCUAUGCCAUGCCAAUCUUUGUUAGCAGUAUUUACAUACUGCUUUAGAUUUUUAGACUCCAUUGACGAUUUUUUCCGUUGAAAUCAACUUAAAGUAAUCCCAACAUUUUGCUUGUUUUUUCUCCUUUCGCUUUCCCCUUGCAUCAAGAAUGUUUAAUUCAGCCUCUUCUUCCUAAUCGUGUUCCGCUUCGGGAAUGUCAACAUCAUCCAAAUUAAUUGGAUUACCGCUUACAUGAUGAUGAAGAUCCAAAUUUGGAAUAUCUUCAGGUAGGGGUACGUCAUUUAGACCUUCAAAUUGAUUCUGAAAUUGACUUUGUGGUGUCAUAUGCGAUUCGUUUCCUCCUACACCGAAUAAGUUUUCGACAAAUGUGCGUGAAUCCAUUUAUUUAAUUAUAAUAAGUAAUAACUAGUUGAAGAAAAAUUGUAUGAAUGUAGUGAGAAAUGAAAAUUGGAUGAAAUUUCAAUAAAUAUAGUGAGAACUGAGAAAUGAGAAUUGGAUAUUGUAUAAAUUGUAUAUAAAAAUUGCAUAACUAUCAACACAAUACAAGAGAGUUGAGAGAAAGAUAAUUGAGAGUUGAGAGUGAAUUGGAGAAAAUUUUGUGGCUAAAUGCCACUAUUUAUAGAAGAAGAAAAGAAAAAAAUUAAAAAAAUUUAAGGACCAAAACGGUCACUGAAAAAAUUCAGUGACCGUUAACGGAAAAAAAAAUUAAUUUAGGGACUGAAACAGUCACUGACAAAAGUCAGUGACCGUUACAUAAAGUGACCGUUUCAGUCACUUUUAAAAACGAGCUCACCAGCCGCUUGCGGGCUCGUCGUGAGCGGCUUCGUUUUUUGUGCGAGUCGAGCGGGCUUGGCUCACCCACCGAACCGGCCCGCUCGGCUCACGCUCGGGCUCGUGUAUUUACGAGCUCAAGCUGCCCAUGAGCUCCGUUUUCACGAGCCGACGAGUCGCUCGGCCCAUUUGCCACCCCUAAUUAUGGGUCCCACACAAGAGAUGAAAAUUCAAAUUUGAAUACUUGAUAUGAUGGAUAGUGGCCAUAUUUUUCAUUUUAAUGGGGAAAGAAUGAAAAACAAACAUGAGCUAUAUUUUCCCUUUUAUCACCCUAAAUUUAUGUAUUUAAAUUUGAGAAAAUUAGAGAAACUACUAAACAACGGCCUGAUAAAGGCAAUAAAGAUCGUGCUGUGCCCAUUGAGACGAGAGAAAUUUCUGUAGGACGGUCGCACCACGUAACAGUGUAAACGUCUUAUCAAGGUGUGCCACCUCAACGGUUGACCCACACACCUCACGCGAUGCGACUGCCCUAUUAAGGUGCGCUACCUAGGCUAGUGGGCCACCACACACCCCCGAGGUGUGUGAUCUCCUGCUAAGGUGGCACCUCAUUGUGGAUGGUACAAUCGUCUCACUGAAGUUUCUCUCCAUUGAUAUAGUUGUGUGAGUCAGACAUUCGUUUAGACGGGUCAAGUUUUUCGCAUAUAAAUUUGUGCUAUUAAAAAUAAGAUUUUAAUCCAAAGCAAAAUUAACAAUUAAUUUUAACAAUGAAUUCACAACUUUUUAACGAUACAUUUUAUCAACUUCUAUCAAAAUUUAGUAAAACUCUAAUUUUAACCCCCAUCAAACAGGAGUUUUACUUUAACUUUGAGGUGAUUUUGGCCUUAAAUCACUUCUAAAUAAUAUAUAUGGGGCCGGUUUGACAUGAUUUUUACUUUAACUUUUAUUGCUUCUAAAAGAGCUUAUUAGAAAAGCUACUUUAAUUUUUGUUUGAAAAGUAUUAUGUAAAAUGAUUCCCUAUUUCUAAAAAUGAGUCAAACUGAACUUGCUUUCUCGAAAAACUCUUUUAAUUAUAAAAAUCACUUUUAUAAAAAUAGUCAACUAAGUCCAAAAAUAACUUUUAGGUCAUGUUUGAGCCACAUUUAAAAAAAAAUACAUUCUUAAACAGUGAUUUGACAUUAUUUCAAUCACACAUUCUUUAAUAAAAUAAUAUUAAAUACAAAUUCAAAACUUUUCUUUAUUUUUUAAUCGCACAUUUCCUAUCAAUACAUAAUUAAAAAAUGCAUUCUAAAAAAAAAUAAUGUGACUGAAAGAAGGGCUUAGAUUUCAAAACUUUCUUUUUAAAUUUUUAAAAGUUAUGUGGGUCCAUUGGAGUUGCAGUGACGAAAGUUAUUACUUUAAAAUUAUCUUUUUGGGAAAUUUCAUGGGCCAUCCAUGUUUCUCCAAAGUUAUGAGGACCUGAUUAGAAUAAAGUAAAGUAAAAAAAAAAGGUUUACUUCAGCUCCUAAAAAAAACAAAAACAAAAACAAAAAAAAAUGGUAUUCCUUCUCUAAACCGGUAAUCGGAUGAUUCUGAUUCAUUUCUUGUUUUUCAAUUUAAAACAUACAAUUUCAAACAUAUGUAAUUUUAUCAGGUCAAUAACUCCUUUUUUUUUAUCGAUAAAUAUAAACUUUAUAGAUCAAUAAUUCCUACAUAAAUGAAAUUGUUAAUUUUCGUCUAAGGGAUUUAGGAGUUGUUUGACAAAACUUUUAUAACAAAUUUGAGAGAUUUUGAUAAAAAUUGUAGAGAUUUUGAUAAAAAUUUGAGAGAUUUUGAUAAAACUUUCGUUUAAGCACUAUUCUAUGCUUUUAAAAACAUUAUUAAAUAGUAUUAAUAAUAUAAUAAUCAUUUACUUAACUAACUACAUUAACAAACUGUCAAGUGGCUCAAAAUAUCCUAAACACUUUUCUCAGAGUUCAAUCCAAACUUUCAUUCUGUGGUACCUAAAAACUAAGAUAUUAUCACAAUCAUGAUGUUGCUGCAUUAGCAUUUAGAGGUCAGUUGGCAUGCCUGAAUUUCGCCGAUUCUGUCUGGUGCUUGCCGGUGCCGAUUUCUGAAGAUGCUAAGGAUAUUCAGAAGGCGGCAAUAGAGGCGCCAGAACUGUUCAGGCCGUUCGAGGGGGGUGGUGGUGGUGGGACAAUAAUGCAAGAAAAUGAGAUGAAUUCUGAGAGGGUUUCAAGUGGCAAUUUGACAACAUUGGACACAACAAAAACACUAUCAGAUUGUGAUAUUUUUAAUAUGAUUGAGGAUUCAGAGACAAAUAUGGAAGGAGUUUUGCUAUCACCACAACCUCGUUUAGACUACAGUUUCGGUUGGGAUGAUUUGGAAAACGAUGAUGCUGAGAUGGUGCUUUGGAGCUACUCUAUUUGAUGUCAUAGUAGUUUUGGAUAGUAAAGUGCGUGAAACACAAAAAUAAAGAAGCAAGAUAUAGUAUAUGUGUGUAUUCCAGUUUGAUUGAAUAGAGCGUAGGUGAGUCAAGUUGAUCUGGUAUUUGCUUUUGAAGUCCAAUCACCCAGACAGCUUACUAUAAGACAAAAAGUAAGAGGAAAAAAUAUCAAGCUGGUAACAGUGCAAGAACUUUGGAUAGAAUGCUUUGACUGUAUUGAUUUUCUUGUAUUUUCCUUUGUACAGUUACAAUAUAUAUGAAGAAUGGAAAAGAAUAUUGGCUUAAAAACCGACUUAAGAGUGGUCCACAUAUCUCACAUCCCACUACUUCAGCAACUGACCCAGUGUUUAAAAAUCACGUUUGAUAACCACCCAUAUUCUAAGGACGUGCAAAAAAAAAAAAAAAGGCUCCAUGAUGGGCAAAGAAUUUAUAAAAGGCAUUCAAAUUCAUCGGAAGAUCCCUAAUAUCAUUUUCAUGUUUAGUUUGUAUACACUAUCUAAACAAUGAGAAAGAAAGCUUAGAAGAGCCUUAACACGCAGCCAAACACUAUCUACAAGCUUGAGUGAAUGCAUCAAGAAUGACAAUGGCGAGAGGGUUGUUUUAGAUCCAUUUUACUCUGCAUUGAUCUAAAUGUUAUUUUAUUUAUUAAAGCAUGUUUAGAUCGCUUAAGGUGACUUACAUUUGGUAUCAAAGCCUUCGUUUUGCCUUUGCCUUGUUUGUUCUUAGCCUGCACAUUCUGUUGAAAAAUUUGGUUUUUGAUUUAGUCUUUUAUAUAGAAACUGAGAUUAGGAAUCACUAGGAAAUCGAUUUCUGAGAAUUUUGAUAUAAAAUAUGCGAAAUUUGAUGGUCGGAAUCAGGAGAUAUGACCGAAUUUUUCAUUCGGGUUGAAACCGGGCUGAAACGGGUCACAUCGACCUGUUGGAGGUUAAGACAACCUCUAAUAAAAAAAGAUAAAACAUAGUAAACAAUCUUUUUAAACCUGUUUGGAAGACACGGCAAAUUAUGUUGACGUGCAGUGGGCCUUCCUGUCUCUUACUAAUUAAGGUACAAAAAUGGUUUUUGUUUUAACCAUUAGUUUCUGGCAUGCGGUCCCACUUGCAUGAAAUAAAGGCUGCCAUUGAUAAUAUGAAAAUAGAAUGUUUAAUAUUAUUAUUUUGGAUUAUUUUAAUAAAAUUUUGGACUUGCACAAGUACCAGCCGAAAAUUUUGAAAUUGUAUCUCUUUGUGGACCCAUGUGCUGGAAAUUAAUGAGAAUUAUUUGGUGAUUUUGUUUUAAUAUGUACUAAACUUAUGUUGCCCCCGUUUAGCCCUCAUUCUCAUUUUCAUUAUUUUUCUCUCUUAUUUUUAACCACACAAUCUUUCAUAAAAUAAUAUUAAAUGCAAAUAAAAAACUUUUUAUUUUUUUUCAACCAUACAUUUUUCAAAAAAAUACUUUUUCAACCAUUAAAAUUUGGUAAGAAUGGGGACCAAACAGGUGUUUUAUUGUUUUUUAUGUAUAAUUUUUAUUGUUUUGUUUAACAUGCAAUAUUGAGUUAAAUAAUUUAGUACAUUAAAAUUUAAUUUUUGUGUUCAUAUUGCUUAUGGUUUUGUGCAAUUUAUAUGAGCAUAUUUUUGUGAAUUAAAUUAAAAGUUGAGUGAUCCAUAUAAUUUAAUUAAUUGGGGAGUAGUCACAGCAUUCUUAAUUAUACAAAAUUAUUUAUUAAAUGUAUAGGAUCACAUAUUGAAUAAAGACAUUAAUUGUGGUUAAUCAUAUUUAAUAUAAUGAAUAUUAUCCCACAAGAAUUUUAUUAUAUAUCAAUGAUUAAUUAAGAUAAAAUAUCAAACUAUAUUUUCUAAUUUGCCCCCAAUGAUUAGAAAAGGGAACGUAAUUUGAUAGUUUUAUUGUGAAGUUAAAAUGAAUCUAAUUGAAUUAGAACUUAAGCCCACAUGCAAGUCUUAUAUCACUAGAUUCAUAUUUUGCAUGAUCUUAUAUCGGUAAAACAUGUCAUAUGUUAUGAUAGCUUCAAAUUUUGUAAAAUGAGCAUGAAUGUUUGAUUUAUUGCAGCAAGUCAACCUGUUAAUUUCUCUAAUAUGAAACGUGAUUUUCCCAAGCUGAAAGGGGAUAAUUAUAAGGUCUGGAAGGAGAGAAUUCUCCUUCACUUGGGAUGGAUGGACAUAUAUUACGCUAGAAGGAAGGAGGAGCCCCCCUACAGUAACUGCUACCAUCACUCCAGAGGCAGUUCAACUUUAUGAAAAAUGGGAGCGAUCUAAUUGUCUUUCAGUUAUGUUCAUAAAGACGAAAAUAUCUACUGGUAUUAGGCGCUCCAUCGAGUAGUGUGACAAAGUCCAAGAUUUGCUUACGGCCGUUGACAAACAAUUCGUCACUUCAGAUAAAGCAAUGGCCAGCACCCUCAUUAGGCAGUUUUCAUCCUUGAAGCUCAUCGGCAUUAAGGUUGUGCGUGAUCAUAUCAUGUGCAUGAGAGAUAUAGCAACCCAACUCAAGACAUUAGAAGUUGAGAUGUCCGAAUCAUUCCCGGUUCACUACAUCCUUUGCACUUUGCCUCAACAAUAUGGCCCAUUCAAGAUCUCCUAUAACAUACAUAAAGAUGAAUGGUCCAUUAAUAAGUUGCUGACCAUGUGUGUUCAGGAAGAGGGCAUACUACUUAUAGAGGAAGGUGAAAAGGAAAAGAUAUGUUUGACAACUCCAGGAAAGAAGAAGAAAGAUCAGGCCAAGGACAAGAUGAAAGGAAAAAUCCAUCCUCGAAAGGACAUCAAGAAGGAGAUUGUGUGCUUCUCUUGCAAGAAAAAACAACACGUUAAGAAGCAAUGCUCAAAGUUCAAGAAGUGGCUUGACAAACAUGAUACUCAACUCUGAUCUAUUUGUUAUGAAUCCAAUGUGAUUGAUAUUAAUCAUAACACAUGGUGGAUUGAUUCUGGUUCUACGAUCUAUGUGACCAAUUCAUUGCAGGACUUGUGAAAUCUGUGGAAACCAAUGGGAAGUGAGCGUAGCAUCUAUUCAGGAAAUAAGAUGCCCUCACAUGUGGAGGCCAUUGGCAAGUAUAUAUUGGUUUUAAGUAGUGGUUUCAUUUUAAAUUUAGAAAAGACCUUUUAUAUUCCCAGUUUUUCUAAGAUUUGAUUUCAAUUUCCAGACUUGUAUCAGAUGGUUAUUUCUUUAACUUUUUAGACUCUAAAUUUAAUUUAAUUUAUGAAUCUGAUGUUAUUGGAUGUGACACUUUGUCUGAUGGUCUUUUUCUUAUUAAUUUGCAAAACGAUGACAACCAUACUGUCAUGCACGUUCAUGAAAGUAUUGGUACUAAACAAUGUGUUGUGAAUGAAGAGUCUUCUAUGUUGUGGCAUCGGAGACUGGGACACAUCUCCAUUGAUAGAAUUAAAAGGUUAGUGAAUGAUUGGGUACUUAGUACUCCAGAUUUUACAGACUUUGGGACUUUAUAGACUGUAUUAAGGGAAAGCAGACUAACAAGUCGAAAAAGAGUGCCAAGAUAAGCUUUGAAUUAUUGGAAAUCAUACACACGGAUAUUUGUAGUCCAGACAUGGAUGCAUACCACAAUAAAUAAUCCAUCUCUUUUAUAAAUGAUUACUCACGAUACAUGUAUCUCUACUCGCUUAACAGUAAAGACGAAAUACUAGAUGCUUUUAAGGUAUUUAAAGCUGAAGUAGGGAAACAAUGCGGUAAAAUAAUUAAGAUAGUGAGAUCCGAUAGAAGUGGAGAAUAAUCUAAUGAAAAAAUUAGGCUCUAAUCAUAAGUCAAUUAUAACGAGAGGAACUAUGAUAUUGACAUGAUGCGUGAUAGCAUUUCUACAAAAUUGGGAAGAACUUUGUUCUCAAUUAAUUGGGAAGUUUAACAAAUAAUAGUUUUAACCAAUUUGUCGACAUCCUAACUAACACUUAUUAAAAUAUUGAGAUUUUUAAUCACUAACAUUAACAAGACAUUGUCUUGAUUGUAUACUCUAAAAAUCAAGCUCACAAUUUUAAAUUUGAGCAGUAAUUUCACAAACUUUAGAUUACUAACACCAUGCAAUCAUCUAGCAUAUGUAACAAAUCUAUUAGAUAUAAGCAAUAUUUAGACGAUCAACGUGGAGGAUGACGUGGUCCCAUUUAUCACACUAUUAAUUUUCAGAAAUAUAGGGAAUUCAGUCCCUAUUUUAACUAGUUGUUGUUAGUGAAAGAGAACACACGUCAUAUAUGAUUGAACUGAAGAAUAUUUUGGUUCUUUAUUGCAUAUCCAUUUGAAUUUUUAAUUUCGCAUCAUUAUUAAUCUAGUGAUGAUCAAACUGGUCAUGUCAAAUUAAACUUCUUGUUCAGUAUAAAUAUAAUUCAAUUAUUUAGUGGGUGUUUGAGCCCCAUUUUUUAAAAAAAAAAAUGCAUUUUAAAAUAGUAGAAUUAUGAGAAAUGUGUGGUUUUGAAAAAUAAGGAAUUUUUUUAAUUUACGGGUAAUAUUAUUUUAUGAAGAAUGUGUGGUUGAAAAAAAAAAAGAGAAACGUGUAUUUUUGAAAAAAUGAGAAUCAAACAAAGCAUUAAUUUCAAAAAAUAUGAUUAAACAUUAUAUAAUUAUAUAAUGAUCAAUGUUCACAUGACAUAAGUCGCAUGUUUUUCUUCAGAGAUAAACACAAAUUCAUAAAUUAUACAUGAUAUAUUCUUCAAAACAUGUACGACUUUAAGAGUACGUUAUAUUUUAUUUUCGCUUCUUUAGGAGCAACAUCAAUAUUCUUCUGAAAUAUUGGAAUGGUAGUGUCAUACUUCAGGAACAAUAACAUAUUAUUAUUAAAAUAAUAAAUUAUAUAAGAAUUUACUCUUGCACUUUUUAAAACAUUCAGGGGUAAAAUUGCAAUUUUAUUCUUUUUUUUUUGUUUUAUUUAGAAAGGAAUAUUUUGCUCAUUUAUAUUAAAAAAUCGUGAUUUUUUUUUUUUUUUCUUUUUUUUUUUUUUGUUUUAUUUAGAAAGGAAUAUUUUGCUCAUUUAUAUUAAAAAAUCGUGAAAAUGGCGUUUUCUGCAAUGAAACGUUGAAAUAAGGGCGAAAAUGUAAAAAAAUGAAACGUAGGGAUGUUUUUCGCAAUAAGUGUCGGACGUAGGGACAUUUUGUGCUAUUAACCCAAAUUUUUAAUAUAAUAUCAAAUUUUUGUUUUAAUUGUUUUAUAAUAAUGAAAUUAUAUUGGAUUUUAGGAUAUAACUUACAAAAAGUUGUACACAUAGUUGUAAAAUUACGUUGUAACAACCUAAAAUCAGGUAUCAAUAUAAUAAUUAAAUAUUAAUCAACACCAAAUUCAUCUCCAAUCCCAUUUUUGAAAACCUAAAUCUCUCUCUCUAAUCUCUCUCUUCGCUCUUCUCUCCAGUCGCUGUCUCCAUUAUUUGUCAUCGAAUUGACGGCACGGUUGAUAUGAAAUUUCUGAAAGAAGCCACCACUACUAGUGCUUCCUUAUCACUUUUCACAUUUACAGGAAGCUUCGUUCCUGCGCCUUGCCACAGCACUCGACAGUGCAGCCGUCUCCCUUCUAUUUGUUAUCGGAUCGGCGGCGCGAUCGAUGCUGAGUUUCCUGAGAGAAGCCACCGCCGAAGUCGCUUUCUUAUACCUUUCCAUAUAAACUUGGUUCUUGCACCUUCCACAUCUCUCGACGGUGUAGCAUCUAUUGAAGAGACCUGUGAGCAUGGCUUGAGACACCCAUCGUUUUGUUGUUGUUGGCGAUAUUUAUGGUUGUGUUGUGCUGGGGGACGGUGAUGUUGAUUUGGUGGUUAUGAAGCCAUGCAUCAUACAUUUUCUCCUUCUUUCUAUUGCAACCAAUUGGGAGUGGUGGACGUGGUUUUGAUGGUUGCGAUGGCAAGGUGGUGGUGGUCGUGGAAGUUGUGGCGAUGGUUGUGGGUGUAGGUGUUGGUGGGGUGAUCACCGCUUGUUUUUGUGUGGAAGUGUAUUGGUACGGUAUUUAGGUGUUUGUUGGUUUUUGGAAUGGUGGUGGAUGCCGUGGUAGAGCCGAGAGGUAGCGAUGACAAUUGGGUGGCCUGCUUGGCUUAGUGUUGUGGCUGCUGUUGAGGUAUUUUAGUUAGGUUUGUUGGAAAAUUGCAGUGGUGGUGGUUUUCAUGUUGGUGGUGGUGGUGGUGGUGGUGUUGGCGGUGGUGUGAUGGUGUUGUAGUGGGGUAGGGUAAUGUUUGUGACCAAAUAUUGUAGUGGAUCAGGAUCGAGCUUUUGGUGUCUGUGACCAACUAUUUGGUUCCCUAUGACUAACUAUUAAACUGUAACCUUAAAAUUUGAUUAGUUGUGACAUAAAAAAGUAAUUUGUGACCAUCAAAAAUGAAAAUAUGUGACUUGCGACAUAAUUUUUUGGAUUUGUAAAUUGUGGCCUUAAAAUUCGAACGUUUGUGACUUAAAAAAGUAAUUUGUGAUCAUCAAAUUUGAAAAUAUGUGAAAUGUGACCUAUAAUUUUUUGAAUUUGUAACCAAUUACAUAAAUUGUGACCUAUAAAAUUUUCGAUUUGUGACCUUCACAUAAUUUGUGAUCAAUUAAUUUUAUUAAUAUGUGAUCAAUAAAUAAAUUGUAACCUAUAAUUAUAUUCAUACGACUAUUAAUUGUAUAAAUGUGACCUCAUUGUAUUUAAUUAAUAAAUAUUUUUAAUUAAUUAGCUAAAACCUUAUUUUUGCAUUAGUUAAACUUAAAACCUGAUUUUUGAAUUGUGCAUAGUUAAAACAUGAUUUGUGAAUUUUUUCCUUUUUUUAAUUCAUUCUAUUUGGUGCAUGCUUAGGAAAGAAAACAAACUUUCUUAAUAAAAAAAGUAAGUCCAAAUCCAAUUCUCUGGUCAAAACAACCCUCACAAAAAGCCCAAAUCCAAUUCUCUUCAUCUGUUCUCUCGCUACUUUGAAUUGCUCAAAAUCUCUCAUCAGUCGCUUGUAGUCUCACUGUAGUCAACGAUUACUCCUUUGUACUACGUGAUUGUAUUCAAAUAAUUCAUUUGCUACUUUUGGCAAAAACAAAAUGAUUCGACUAUGUGAAUAUUAUUCGGUAGAUUUUGAGGUAGUAGAUAUCUUGAAAUUUGAUGAUCAUCUUGAUGCAUAUAUUCUUGACGUGCACAUUGAUGGAAAUUUUGGAGGAUUACAAGGUUUUAAUGAACUUAUAAAGAAGUUAUGAAAAAUAAAUAUCAAGUGUAUUCAUUAGCAUACAAGCUUGUGUUAUUGACCUUAAUUCCUUCCCUGGCUACUAUUAAAAUUGAAUCGGAUGAUCAGUGAUUGAAUGAUAGUUUGAUUGUACAUAUUGAAAAUUAUAUAUUUGAAAAUAUUGAAAAUGAUGUAAUUAUAGAACAUUAUCAAAGUAUGAGAAUGCAUAGAAAAUAAUUAUAAUAAGAUAUCGCAUGCUUUAAUUUUUUCACAAAUUUUUUUGCAAGUUUAAUUGGGUCCUAACUCAAAAUGCCUACGUUUGCCACUGCAUGAUGUUUACUAUAAAUCUAAUAAUAUGUAUGGACUGCAAUAUUAUUUUGUAUGUUAUGAUUAUCUACAAUACUCACUUUUGUUUCAUCAAGGUGAAACUAGUUGGCACCAUGGUGCUCAAACAGUUGAUAAGGAACAACAAUAUUGCGUGAAUUAAGCCCUUUUUUGUACACAUCAAUUUGUUUCAACUGAAGGAAUAAUUGCUAAUGAAGCAGUGAUAUCUUUUUGAUAAGUUGUUUCCAUUAUGUUGUUGUUUCUGUAGAUUUUUGUUUCUCAUAAUUUUUUUAAAUGUUGUAUCAAGAUUUUAGACAUCUAGAUUAUAUUAAUCUGACUUAACUAUGAGCCAAACUUUAUCAAGUUGUAGUUGAUAUUAUAUAGAUUAGUGAGAGUAUAGGUGAGAAAGUUGGUCGAAGUGUAACAAGUGUUGUCUUGCCUUAGUCAUAUAUUGGUAGACCUAUUUAAAUUUAUAUAAACUACUUUAUUGAAUUUAAUUUCAGUUCCAAUAUUAUACAAUGACAAAUGAAAAUUCUUUGUUGUGAUAUUCUAUGUUAAAGAUUUUGAAAAAUAAAUUAAGAAAAUUUAUGUAUUAGUUAUUAAUUUGAAGUUUAAAACUAAUUUCUUAUUCAAUUUAAGUUGAAGUUAUGAUUUAUAUCAUUUUUCAACUUUCAAAAUUUCAAAAAUGCUUGCACAAGUGUCUUGGUUUUUGUUGUGGAUGAUCUUUGUCUCUCUUUUUUUUUUUUUUUUUUUUUUUUUUUUUUUGACUGAAACUUGAUAGAAGAGAAUGCAAAUAUAAAUAUUUUUAAUAAAAAUAUAUAGUCUUUGGUAAACAAUGAAAAUUUCAAAAACUAUGUUAUUAAAGUUGUUAGAGACUCGAUCACACGGUAAUCUAUGAAGAAGAUAUGAAAUGAAGAAAAGAAAUUAACUUUUUAACGAGAAAUAUAUAAUAAUUAAAUUCUUAAAGAGAUAAAUAAAGUGUUAAUUAUAGUAUUGUACAUGUUGUAAUUCGAUAUUUUUAAUGAAGUGUAUUUUUAAUGUGUUCAGCUUUUAUAAUGACAUAUUUAUAAAUUUUUAUAUUAUUUUGGAAAAUAUUUAGUUACCAAUUAUUUUAUACAGAAGUUGCAUUUUGUACUAUUGAAUAAAAUAUAAAUUUCAAGAAAAUAAUGAGUAAACUAUAAGCCUCUAUUUAGUUUAUACAAAAAUUAAGUUUUAGUAAUAAAAAUUGAUGAAAUAUAUAAUUAAAAAAUUAUCAUUUUCCAUAAAAUAUAUGAUUAAAUUAAUUAUUAAUUUUCAAUGAUUUUUUUUUUAAAUUAAACCAAACAAGGGUGAUAUGCACACAAUAAAUAUCCUUCUUGUUGACAUUGAAAUGGUCAAUUGUACCCUCGCAUUUAAUUCCAAACAGGCAAGAAAAAAUGGUUAGAAUUUUAUUUUAUUUUUGGUAUGAAUAAAGCCGAACUUUUGCUUGAUCAAAAAAUUUAGAUUCGACUUGACUUUUUGACUCAGAUCUUUAUUGAGCCGAGCCUAGAGGCCUAGACCUUUGCAGUCUCUUUGGAGUGGAUGACAGAUUCCCUCCACUGAAUUGAUUGGCCAAUUGUACCCACGCAAUUGGCUCCAGACAGGAAAGAAACAAUUUAUUCUUCACAUGCCCUGAAAUCUACCAACCAUAAUACAUGAUGUAAUCAACCUAGGAAUCUUCGCAUCUUAUGAUGAAAUAAAUGUAUAUUUCUUUUUUUAUCACCUAAAUUCGUGUAUUUAAAUUUGAGAAAAUUAGAGAAACUGCUAGACGCUACCUGAUAAAGGCAAUAGGGAUCGUACUAUGCCCAUCGAGACGAGAGAAACUUCUGUAGGGCGGUCAUACCACGUGAUAGUGUAACCGCCUUAUCAAGGUGCGCCACCUUAGCUGAUGGCUCACACACCUCACGCGGUGCGAUCGCCCUAUUAAAGUGCGCUACCUAGGUCCGGUGGGCCACCACACACCCCUCGAGGUGUGUGGGCCACCCGCUGAGGUGGCGCCUCAUUGUGGAUGGUGCGACUGUCCCACUAAAGUUUUUCUCCAUUGAGAUAGUUGUGUGAGUCAGACAUUCGUAUGGACGGGUCAAGUUUUUCGCAUAUAAAUUUGAGCUAUUAAAAAUAAGAUUUUGAUCCAAGUCAAAAUUAACAAUUAAUUUUAACUACACAUUUCAAUGGAUUCAUAACUUUUCAACCAUACAUUUUAUCAACUUUUAUCAAAAUUUACUAAAACUCUAAUUUUAAUCACCACCAAAUAGGGGUUUUACUUUAACUUUGAGGUGAUUUUAGCCUUAAAUCACUUUUAAAUCAUAUAUAUGGGACAUGUUUGACAUGAUUUUUAUUUUAACUUUUAUUGCCUCUAGUGUUUGAAAAGUAAUUUUUAAAAUGAUUCCCUAUUUUAGAAGUAUUUUUAGAGAAAGUCAAACUGAACCUGUUUCCUCUAAAAACUCUUUUAGUUAGAAAAAUCACUUUCAUAAAAUUAGUCAAAUAAGUUCAAAAAUAACUUUUAUUCGAGCCACAUUUUUUUAAAAAAAAUACAUUCUUAGACAGUGAUUUGAUAUCAUUCCAACCACACAUUCUUCAAUAAAAUAAUAUUACACCAAAACUCAAAUUUUUUUUUUAUUUUUUAACUAUAUAUUUUCCAUCAAUACACUAUUAAAAAAUGCAUAUUAAAGAAAAUAAUGUAGCUCAAACAAGGGCUUAGAUUUCAAAACUUUCUUUUUAACUUUUUAAAAGUUAUGUGGGUCCAUUGUAGUUUCAUUGAUGAACGUUAUUACUUUAAAAUUAUCUUUUUGGGAAAUUUCAUGGGCCAUCCAUGUUUGUCCGAAGUAAUGGGUUUAGUUCAGCUCCUUCAACAUAAAAAAACUAAAAAAUGGUAUGUCAUGACGUUAAUGUUAUAAAAUCGGUAACUAAAAUAUGAAAAAAAAAAAAAGGGAAUAAAAAGAAAGUAAAUAAGCUAAUUAAAUAAAAUAUUAUUUUUCAUGGUUUUAGAAUAAUUUAAAUAAUUCUAAAAAAAUCAGAACGUCUUAUUAUGUCUAACUUCAUAUAUGCGUACUUAUACUUGUAAAUUUGAGGUUAGACCUUACCUUCAUGCACUAUUCCACGCUUUUUAAAACAUUCUUAAAUCAAUAAAACCAUAGAUACAAGAAAAAUUUUUCAGAACUUGUAUCGACGUUGAUGUGGCAAAAUGUAAAUGAACUAUUUUUUUUCAUUUUUUUCUAUAUUUCAAUGAUGUCACGCCAAAUAUUGUCCACAAGGUUUUUUCGUAAAAAAAAUUCUGUAAUUGUAAAAUCUUCUUAAAUAGUAUUAAUAAUAUAAUAAUCAUUUACUUAACUAACUACAUUAACAAAUUGUCAAGUGGGAGUACACUGAAUUUGAGUGUGAGACCCGUGUUCGUGUGCUGAGCCACAAAUUUGUUUCCUAAACACUUUUCUCAAACUUCAAUUCAACUUUUAUUCUGUGGUACCUAAAAACUAAGAUAUUAUUACCACACGUUUUGCAAUAAUGUGUCCCGAAAUAUCCUACAAAAGUGGGCCCCUUGUCAUGCCAGCCUGGAAUUUUGUCGUAUCUUUCUUAUAUAUUCCCCGCGUUCAAUUCAUAGGCAGUGACGCCCGGGUUUCCUCUCUUUUCUCUUACCACAAAAUUAUAAAAGCCUCUGUCAUUUGCCCAGUCCAAACUUAGCAACACCCUAGUAAGCAAAAUAAACAUUACAUAUAUAAUUCUCUUCUCUGCUUCUUGAUCAUAAUUUUCAUGGAUUCGUUAGAUUCAUGUUCUGAUCCAAAUCCGUUCGGCGUUUCCGACAUGCCUGAGAUUACAUCGUUGAAGGGACAUUCUGACGAAGAGGUUAUUUUGGCGUCGAGUCAGCCCAAGAAACGUACAGGAAGGAAGAAGUUCAAGGAAACUCGCCACCCGGUUUAUCGAGGCAUUAGACAGAGGAAUUCAAACAAAUGGGUAUGCGAGUUACGCGAACCGAGCAAUCAGAAAAGGAUAUGGCUAGGAACUCAUCCUACUGCAGAAAUGGCAGCACGUGCUCAUGAUGUUGCUGCAUUAGCAUUCAGAGGUCAGUUGGCAUGCCUGAAUUUCGCCGAUUCUGUCUGGUGCUUGCCGGUGCCGGUUUCUAAAGAUGCUAAGGAUAUUCAGAAGGCGGCAAUAGAGGCGGCAGAACUGUUUAGGCCGUUCGAGGGGGGUGGUGGUGGUGGGACAAUAAUGCAAGAAAAUGAGAUGAAUUCUGAGGGGGUUUCAAGUGGCAACUUGACAACAUUGGACACAACAAAAACACUAUCAGAUUGUGAUAUUUUUAAUAUGAGUGAGGAUUCAGAGACAAAUAUGGAAGGAGUUUUGCUGUCACCACAACCUCGUUUAGACUACAGUUUCGGCUGGGAUGAUUUGGAAAACGAUGAUGCUGAGAUGGUGCUUUGGAGCUAUUCUAUUUGAUGUCAUAGUAGUUUUGGAUAGUAAAGUGCAUAAAAACACAAAAAUAAAGAAACAAGAUAUAGUAUAUGUGUGUAUUCCAG
rnacentral:lncRNA from 1 species